CGAAAGAUGGUGAACUAUGCCUGGCCAGGAUGAAGCCAGAGGAAACUCUGGUGGAGGUCCGAAGCAGUUUUGACGUGCAAAUCAAUUGUCAGAGCUGGGCUUAGGGGCGAAAGACCAAUCGAACCAUCUAGUAGCUGGUUCCUCCCGAAGUUUCCCGCAGGAUAGCUGGAGCACCACAAAUGAGUUCCAUCUGGUAAAGCGAAUGACUAGAGGGAUUGGGGACGAAACGUCCUUGACCUAUUAUCAAACUUUCAAUGGGUGAUAUGCUGAGCUUGCUUGAAUAUGCGAGUGAGUGAAAAACCUUGUCCCCGGACGAGGUCUAGUAGCCCUUGCCAAUGAAGCUUUUGCUUAAAUCUUAUGUGCACCAAGUGGGCCAUGUUUU
rnacentral:rRNA from 1 species